GAUUAACGCUGGCGGCGUGCAUAACACAUGCAAGUCGAACGAUGAAACUUAAAUGAUUUCUUCGGAAUGAACUUAAGUGGAUUAGUGGCGGACGGGUGAGUAACGCGUGAGUAACCUGCCUUACACAAGGGGAUAGCCGUUGGAAACGACGAAUAAUACCCUAUGAAACUAUCACUUCGCAUGAAGCGAUAGUCAAAGUGUUAGCGGUGUAAGAUGGACUUGCGUCUGAUUAGCUAGUUGGUGAGAAAAAAGCCCACCAAGGCAACGAUCAGUAGCCGGCUUGAGAGAGUGGACGGCCACAUUGGGACUGAGACACGGCCCAGACUCCUACGGGAGGCAGCAGUGGGGAAUUUUGCACAAUGGGGGAAACCCUGAUGCAGCGACGCCGCGUGAUUUAGAAGGCCUUCGGGUUGUAAAAAUCUUUUGUAUAGGAAGAAAAUGACAGUACUAUACGAAUAAGGUCCGGCUAAUUACGUG
rnacentral:rRNA from 1 species